rnacentral:lncRNA from 1 species
AAGCAAUUUGCUCAUAGCCAUAGCUUUCUUGUGAAAGUAGGAUAUUAACCCAGGUGUCUUGGUGCUGGAGAACAGAACUGGCCAGAGUCCAUCCUGUCUCCCACCGGCAUCCCAUUACGAAAUGAACACAGAAAAGGCAGGUCUGCAAUGCCAACAUCUAGUAUCUAUCCCAAAGACCAGGGAGAAAGGAAGGAAAGAUUCUGGUUCUGUCCUCUUCCCCAAGGCAAGGCUGGCUGCCCUACCAACAGAGGCAAAGAGAAGAGUGUGCAAGGCUGGCUGCCCUCCCAACAGAGGCAAAGAGGAGUGUGUGUUGAAAUAUCCAUUGAAUCCCUGAGACAACUGGAUCCUGGCCCAUUGAAUCAUAAACUCAUUUCAGAGAAGAUGAAACUGAUGUGCGUCAAAAAGUAAACUACCCACAUUUUAACUGGGCACAUUCCUGUCAAUCUGAUGAGAAUCUAUUUCAUACCCUGCUUUAGCUGGUAGUCUGUCAAGGAAAUGAGCUGAACAUGUCUGUGUACAGCUUUUGUGCCAUCCCUGGAUGAGCGAGCUGUCUGCCUCUAUGUUCUCCACAAAAUGGAAUAUAGCUGUACACCCAAGCCAAGUUAUGGAGGCUGGGAAGACCUAGAAUGUGGCAUCACUAUUUGCUGAAAUUUUUAAUAUAAUGCCUCUUAGCCUGGUUUGGAGAAAACGUCACAGAGAGGCACCAUUUGUUGUGGUUUUACAUGAAAAUUUUCUGACCCUGAACCUGGUUUGAUGGAAAUCAUUUGCUGAGGAAACCAUGCCGAUUACCGACCGAGCUCUCAAUGGAAAAAUGCAGUCGGCGUGAACCACGCACGAACACAGCAGAGAAAGAAGAAAACACACACCACGAGGAACCCUAAUAGGACAAUACAUUAUAAGUCACAGUGCUACGGAGAAACCCAGUAGCCACAUGGAAGCAGAGACCAUGCAUAUGCAUCUACUCCGCAGCUCUGUGAAUGUCAGCAGCUCCCACGGACUGGAGAUCCCGUGAGAUCCCGUGAGAUCUCACCCAUAGCCUCAUGGUACAUCCACUUGGUGUGCUGGGAGAGUCAGGAUGAGGACCUGAGAAGAACAGCAGCUUGAACCUGACUUCAUUUAACAGCCCACUGCCCUCUUGCCAAGAACCCAUCACAGACCUUCCCAGAAGAGAGGGAUGAGCCUCACCUAUGAAUAAGUCCUCAGAAACUCAAAUUUGAUUCUAAUGGAUUGUUUUCUCAGAAAGACUGAGCAUGUCCCCCCACAUCUCUGUCAUUUCCCACAGUAGUAACCUCUGCAGAUGCCACAUAGAAAACAAAACAAAACAAAAAAACAUGAGGUUGGUGGGCAGAUAGGCAGGGUAUAAACAAACAGCCUUGUAACCCAGAAGCUGUGUGAUAUACAGUAAACUUCACAACACUGAAAAGAUGUCCUAUCUGUUAAAAUGGGGUAAUAACAACUACCCGAAUGUUUAGGAAUAGAACUUCAAUAAAUGAUACAUUUUAUAGUACAGCAGACCAUCCUGUAAAGGUUUCAUCCUUCACUGUGGUGAUAAAUAUCCCAAACCACAUUGAAAAGCAUUGCAUCUACAUUUAUCUACACUGUAACUGUACUGUAAAUCAUGGGGGAGGGGAGAAUCAUAAAAACACCACCUGUCACCGUGUCAUUAAAGCAAGUUGGAAGUGAUACUUACAGAAACACAGCAAGAGCACCCCCAGUCACACAGUUCAAUCUCUUAGCAAGCGUUUUCUUUCUAGCCCAGUGGUUCUCAGUUUGGAAUUUUUGGCACUGCCUAGAGAUAGUUUUGUUGUUAAAACUGAGAAAAGAGCCGGGCGUGGUGGCACACGCCUUUAAUCCCAGCACUCAGGAGGCAGAGGCAGG